UAAUACGUAGGGGGCGAGCGUUGUCCGGAUUCAUUGGGCGUAAAGAGCUCGUAGGCGGUUCGGUAAGUCAGGUGUGAAAACUCCAGGCUCAACUUGGAGACGCCACCUGAUACUGUCGUGACUAGAGUCCGGUAGGGGAGCAUGGAAUUCCUGGUGUAGCGGUGAAAUGCGCAGAUAUCAGGAGGAACACCAGCGGCGAAGGCGGUGCUCUGGGCCGGAACUGACGCUGAGGAGCGAAAGCGUGGGGAGCGAACAGG
rnacentral:rRNA from 1 species